CAGAAGCCGAAAGCAAGUGAGCUGGGCGCAGGGGGACGGACGCGACGAUGGUGGUGGUGGCGACCGCGAGCCCCGGCGGGCCCGAGGCGCUGCAGGUGUGCGAGGUCGAGGACCUCCCGGCGCCGGGGGAGGGCGAGGUGCUUGUCGGGGUGGCCGCCGCCGGCGUCAAUCGCGGCGACACGGUCCAGUGGCAGGGCCGGUACCCGCCGCCUCGCCCGACCCGGGGCUCGAGUGCUCCGGCACCAUCGUCGCUCUCGGGGCCGCGCUGGGCCGUCGGUACCAGGUGUGCGCGCUGCUUACCGGCGGCGGGUAUGCGGAGAAGGUGGUGGUUCCGGCAGGGCAGCUGCUCCCGGUGACGGAGGGGGCGUCGCUGACUGACAGCCCGAGGUGGCCUCCACCGUCUGGUCCACCAUUUUCAUGCCAGUCACCUCUCCCUCGGUGAAUCCUUCCUUAUCCAUGGUGGAUCAAGUGGAAUCGGUACAUUCACUAUACAGAAUUCAAAGCACCUUGGAAAUGUACACACGAGACAUUAUUCUUUGUAAGUAACAGCAGCAGCAAAAAUUUGCUAGUUCUAAAUUUGAAGCUUGCAAGUGUACACAUUCAAAUACACCGAUUGAUGUGUUAACGUUGCAGAGACAACAUCUCUACUGCUCUAGGAGGCACUUUUGACUGUCUGCAUCACCUUUAGGAAUUGCAGCUGGGCUGCAGAAGAGCUAAAUAACAAACCACGAACUCCAUAUAUCUAUUGUGAAGAUAAGUAUUAUAAGCAGAGACAAUUUUUGACAUUUUACAUUCAUACAUCAACACAAAUUGAUGUAUGCUAUCGCUGUUAUGUAGCCAUGGCCAUCAUACAAAACUACGAUGCAUAAAAAAAUGAGGUUCGUCAUUUAUAUUCCAAGAUAUGAGAAUAAAAAGACCAAUUUACACAAAAGUUCACUGGGAUGAGUUUAUAAAAUUAGCUGGGAAUUACUACAGUUUGUCUACAAUUUAUAAAACUGUACUGCUAAGUUUCAUUUUGUUCCAAACAGUGUGCCAAUUCACAUGGACCAAGCUUAUAUGUGGUACUUCUAACCCACAAACUAAACAGAUUUCUUAGUUCAGAUCAUACUUCUAUGUAGGAAAAGGCUAGCGCGGCUCUUAAGAACCCUAACCAAUGCCGCUUUGGUUUUACAACUUUCAUUGCUUCUAACAUCCAAAUCAAACUGUUGUUACACACAUGUUUGCUGUAUAGAUGCACUAAAAAAAUCCUGCAUUUACUUUCUCGUAGAAUUGCAUUUUUCUGGUUGUAAAAAUAGGAUGAGCAGCAACUUUCUUGUCAACAUGAUGGCCUCCUGAAAAUAAUUGAGACCCUUCCAUCACUUAUUUAUGAACUACUUUUCAGUGUCUUCUAUCGAUGAUAAGUGAGCUACUUUUUCCUUAGAGAUCGCCUUCCCAUUGGCACUAACUUGUAUAGCACACAGUUUCCCUUCCCAAUGCACUCGUAAUGCAUAGAUAGUCCCUCCUAAUCAUUUUGUGUUCGUUUUUUUGUCAAGAUUCAGAUCGAAUUUCCGACAUCAGAGACACGUAUGCUGUUAAUCAGGUGCUGAAGAAAAAAUCAAUCCUCUCCACUUGAAGGUAGGUGAUGCACACAGAUUUCUUCUUACCUUGCAAGCACCGUUGGAUGAAGAGAGUAGGCAUGAUCAUGGACAAACGCAUGCCGUCUUGCCUCGAUCUUGCAGGAGAGGAGGACAUUGUUUAUUUGCGUAGGGCUGUCGGGGGAUAAUUCGAUCGAGUAGGAGUUGUUACGUGGAAGAGGAGCUAGCAGCUGGGCGAUCGUUUGGCUAGGUGACGAGGAAGAAAUUGAUACGGCCGGCCGUUGUACGGGAGCACGGCCAGAGAUGGAGUUCGAUACGGUCUGCACCCAAAUCAGAAGGUUUGGCCACCCUUAACAAUAUCCUCAUCGGAUAUAACUUGGGGAAGGCGAAGGCGUACCCCCUACUAUAUAAGCUCAGCCACCCACGCCCCAAACAAAUCACAACCAACCUUCCUCAAGUCGUUUGUUCCCCCGAGCAAUCGAGUUGUGUUCCCGGCGAUCGAUCGAUCCAUCUUGCUGAGCAUCAUGGUUUCCGCCGACGUGGCCCGCAACAUCGUCGGCAUCAUUGGCAAUGUCAUCUCCUUUGGACUCUUCCUCUCACCUGUGCCGACGUUCUGGCGUAUCUGCAAGGCCAAGAACGUGGAGGAGUUCAAGCCGGACCCCUACCUGGCGACGCUCAUGAACUGCCUGCUCUGGUUCUUCUACGGGCUCCCUAUCGUCCACCCCAACAGCACCCUCGUCCUCACCAUCAACGGCAUCGGCCUCGUCAUCGAGGGCGCCUACAUCAUCAUCUUCAUCAUCUACGCGGCCAAGAACACAAGGUGGAAGAUGCUCGGCGUGCUCGCCAUCCAGGCGGCGUUCAUGGCUGCUGUGGUGGCCGGUGUGCUCGUCGGCGCCCACACCCAUGAGAAGCGCUCCAUGAUCGUAGGCAUCCUUUGCGUCAUCUUCGGCUCCAUCAUGUACGCCUCCCCGCUCACCAUCAUGGGUAAAGUGAUCAGGACCAAGAGUGUGGAGUACAUGCCAUUCUUCCUGUCACUGGUAAACUUCCUCAACGGUCUCUGCUGGACGGGCUAUGCGCUAAUCAAGUUUGACAUCUACAUCACGAUCCCCAAUGCCCUCGGUACAAUCUUCGGCCUCAUCCAGCUGAUCCUUUACGGGUACUACUACAGAUCUACCCCCAAGAAGGGCAAGAAUGUCGAGCUGCCCACCGUCCUCACCAAAAACGCCGUUACCAGCGGCAACGUCUCCGUCACCAUAGAAAAAUAAGCUUUGC
rnacentral:rRNA from 1 species